rnacentral:rRNA from 1 species
UUAGGAAUCUUGGACAAUGGGCGCAAGCCUGAUCCAGCCAUGCCGCGUGAGUGAUGAAGGCCUUAGGGCUGUAAAGCUCUUUCAGCGGGGAAGAUAAUGACGGUACCCGCAGAAGAAGCCCCGGCUAACUUCGUGCCAGCAGCCGCGGUAAUACGAAGGGGGCUAGCGUUGCUCGGAAUCACUGGGCGUAAAGCGCACGUAGGCGGCUUUCUAAGUCAGGGGUGAAAUCCUGGAGCUCAACUCCAGAACUGCCUUUGAUACUGGGAAGCUCGAGUCCGGAAGAGGUGAGUGGAACUCCGAGUGUAGAGGUGAAAUUCGUAGAUAUUCGGAAGAACACCAGUGGCGAAGGCGGCUCACUGGUCCGGUACUGACGCUGAGGUGCGAAAGCGUGGGGAGCAAACA